rnacentral:rRNA from 1 species
GAGGCAGCAGUAGAGAAUCUUGUGCAAUAAACGAAAGUAUGACACAGAGAGGACACAUUUAAUUGAGCCCGUCAAAUUAAGUGCCAGCCGACGCGGUUAAACUUAAGGGCUGGUCUUUAUAAGUAAAAAGGCGUAAAGGAUGUGUAGGCCAAGAAACGAUCCAAGUAGGUAAAUGGAAUUUUUCUGGAGCGGUAGAAUGUGAGGAUAGAAAAUAGAACCCCUAAGGUAAAAACUAUUUACUACAAGGUAGGCUGAAACAUGAGAGUGUGGGGAGCAAACAGGAUUAGAGACCCUGGUAGUCCACACUGUGAACUUUGAAGAUGAUGCUUAGCAGACCCGAAAGGUAAAAUCUUCCGCCUGAGUAGUACGAUCGCAAGAUUAAAAUUCAAAAACUUUGGCUGUUCACUAUUUCGAUUAGAGGAGCGUGUAGUUUAAUUCGAUGGUCCGCGUGUUACCUUACCCCAACUUGAAUCUGUGACCGGUAUUGCAUGGCCGUCGUAAGUUCGUGUAUUAAGCUAGAAGGGACCCAACCCGGGCAUUUGCCCGGAGGAAGUCAGGUCUUAUGAUCCGAAUGUUGGGGGAUUUUAUGCGCUACAUUUUCUUAUAUAAUGAGAAACCUGGAAGGUGAGUCUCUAAAGUAAGAGUUCGGAAGGUCGCUGUAAGACGACUGGAAGUUGGAUUUAAUAGUAAUCGGAAAGUAGGGCGUUCCGGUGAAUUGGUACAAGUGUUAGCACAAAUUGCCCGUCACCUUUACUUAGAAUGGUUAUUCGGAUGUCUUCGGUGAUUA